ensembl:ncRNA F08B12.6 ncRNA
UUUGGGUGGAAUAUAUGCGUGUUCGAAGAAAGAGCGCCAGGGCGCUUUGGGGGUCCGUCUCAAGUGUUUGCUGAGUUGAUUUGCGAAGAUACUAAUCGACGCAGACACGAAAAAGGAUUACCUCAUUUGUACAUAAAUCGUCGG